rnacentral:misc_RNA from 1 species
AGACGGUGGAUCUUUGCCGCACGCCGCGACGGAGAAGCUGCAGAAUACCGGUGGCGGAGGCGUGCCCGUCGGCGCCGAGGAAGAAGCCGGUUUGCUUGAAGCGGAAGGCUCCGCCGAAGGACGGCUACUUUCGGCCGCCGGAUUUGGAGGUUUUGUUUGGUUUUGUUGCUCCAAGAGAUCAAGAGGCUUGUAGUUGAGGCUUUUUCUUUUGCUUUUCUUAUGUAUAUGUAUAUAAGUUUGAG